rnacentral:misc_RNA from 1 species
UAACCAAGACCAUAAAUAAUGUAUGGCAACCAUAUAUCAACAGCAAAUUGAAUCAAGGAAAUAAAAAAUACACAUCUGUGCGUUGAAGCCACACCCCUCAGCCAUCCAAAAAAAAAAAGAACUGGAAACCUGACUUUGAAAUAUAAGACUAUCAACCCCCAGAGUGGGAGACUGGAGUAGUUUCAAAGUGGCCAUCUUUAAAAAAAUUUAUGAACUGUUGUGGCAAAGCAUGCUCCACCCAAUCACCAUUAGACUCUGCACCCGGUAUCAAAACAUUGAUCUCGCUUGACUUGGCAGUAGUUAUAGAUGCUCCCAAAGAAUCUUUGCUUAAAUAUAACAGGCAGCCUGAUGUGUUGUCCACAGAAACAGUUGGGGACGAACCCUGGCAUUGCACCUCAACACCACUGCAAUUUACAAUCUCACAAGCAGCCACAACAUCCGUAAAUACAACUCCCAUCUUAGUGCAUUUGUCAACCGGUUAUAUUGUUGACUUUCCCUUGAAUCUGCAAAACAGAAUCUUUGCAACCAAAAACAUAUACAGACUGUUUUGCAUCACAGUCAUCAAUUACUAAAUUCUUUCUUCCAAUUUGAUUUUCAACAACCCACUUACGACCCAUUUGAAGCUCGAGUUUUGGAGGUCCUGCCUUAGAAAAAGAAGGUGAACUAGUACGGCCUUCCUUCUCACUGGUACCAACAACACCAGUUCUAUCUGCACGGUUCUUCGUCUUCAUAUCAGCUGUGACCUUUCUAAGACCUGCAGUCACAGACUUGCUUGUGUUGAUUUCUUGGAAAACAGCAGCCAUCCCUUCUUUUGGCUUUGAUGACGAAGGCUGAGAAGAUUCAGCACUGAAGAGAGAGGCAGGUGGAGGUGGUGGAGGAGCAGGAGCUUUAGAUGGAGCAAAAGCUGGUGCUUUGCCAGAAACACCCCAUGUUGGGCCCAAGGGAUAAUGACUCUUAACAUAAUCCCUCAAACCUGGAAGAUAUAAUUCCUUCAUGGCUUUGGCCCACUCAACAUGAUUUGGGUCCUUGCUUUUGUACUCUACAAGAAUCUUGUUGUUGUAAAAUUCAGCCAUUUGCCAACUCUCUUCAACAUGUGCAAUAGGCAUGCUCAUACCACAAUCUUUUCCUGUAUAGGCAAUCCAUGCCAAAGCUGUCAGACUGUCAGCAGCAGACUUCAAGUGGUUAAAGAAAUCCGAUCUCCUUCCCUCUGUCAUUGCAUUUGCUUUCAUGAUAACUUCAUUCAAUGGCUUGAGAAAUUCAGCCAACUCCGCAAGGUCAGGUUUCUGAGUUUGCUUAGCCUUAACGAGAAGCUCCUUCUGAACUCUAAAAGCUUCUUGUACAAUCUUCGUAACCUCCAAAACCUGUCCUCCAAUCUUCUCAGCAGCAGCCGAAACCCUACCGAAGAACUGCCCCAAGAGAUCGUCGAACGCAAUAAUUGACGGAUCCGAGGACACAUCAGAUCCGCCAAAGUCCGCAACGCCACGGUCCCUAAACCCCGACGAAGAUAGCACCUCCAAUCGCGCCACAGCCGAUUCAAGCCUGGCAAUCAGCUUCUCCUC